rnacentral:rRNA from 1 species
AUUGAACGCUGGCGGCAGGCCUAACACAUGCAAGUCGAGCGCGAAAGUCCUUCGGAAUGAGUAAAGCGGCGGACGGGUGAGUAAUGCAUGGGAAUCUGCCUGGUAGUGGGGGACAACGUUUCGAAAGGAACGCUAAUACCGCAUACGCCCUACGGGGGAAAGGGGGGGAUCUUCGGACCUCUCGCUAUCAGAUGAGCCCAUGUCAGAUUAGCUUGUUGGUGAGGUAAAGGCUCACCAAGGCGACGAUCUGUAACUGGUCUGAGAGGAUGAUCAGUCACACUGGAACUGAGACACGGUCCAGACUCCUACGGGAGGCAGCAGUGGGGAAUAUUGGACAAUGGGCGAAAGCCUGAUCCAGCCAUGCCGCGUGUGUGAAGAAGGCCUUAGGGUUGUAAAGCACUUUCAGUGGGGAGAAAGGUUAUUCACCUAAUACGUGAGUAAAUUGAUGUUACCCACAGAAGAAGCACCGGCUAACUCCGUGCCAGCCGCCGCCGUAA